CACGUAGGGUGCAAGCGUUGUCCGGAAUUAUUGGGCGUAAAGGGCUCGUAGGCGGUCCGUCGCGUCGGGAGUGAAAACUCGGGGCUCAACCCCGAGCCUGCUUUCGAUACGGGCGGACUAGAGGUAGGUAGGGGAGAACGGAAUUCCUGGUGUAGCGGUGGAAUGCGCAGAUAUCAGGAGGAACACCCAUGGCGAAGGCAGCUCUCUGGUCGACCUCUGACGCUGAGACGCGAAAGCGUGGGGAGCGAACGGG
rnacentral:rRNA from 1 species